rnacentral:rRNA from 1 species
UCGGGAAUUUUGGGCAAUGGGCGAAAGCCUGACCCAGCAACGCCGCGUGAGGGAUGAGGUAUUUCGGUAUGUAAACCUCGAAAGAAUGGGAAGAAUAAAUGACGGUACCAUUUAUAAGCUCCGGCUAACUACGUGCCAGCAGCCGCGGUAAUACAUAGGGAGCAAGCGUUGUUCGGAUUUACUGGGCGUAAAGGGCGCGUAGGCGGCGCGUAAGUCACUUGUGAAAUCUCUGAGCUUAACCCAGAACGGCCAAGUGAUACUGCUGUGCUAGAGUGCGGAAGAGGCAACCGGAAUUCUUGGUGUAGCGGUGAAAUGCGUAGAUAUCAAGAGGAACACCUGAGGCGAAGGCGGGUUGCUGGGCCGACACUGACGCUGAUGCGCGAAAGCCAGGGGAGCAAACG